rnacentral:rRNA from 1 species
UACGAAGGGGGCUAGCGUUGCUCGGAAUCACUGGGCGUAAAGCGCACGUAGGCGGAUUGUUAAGUCAGGGGUGAAAUCCUGGAGCUCAACUCCAGAACUGCCUUCGAUACUGGGAGUCUCGAGUUCGGGAGAGGUGAGUGGAACUGCGAGUGUAGAGGUGAAAUUCGUAGAUAUUCGCAAGAACACCAGUGGCGAAGGCGGCUCACUGGCCCGGUACUGACGCUGAGGUGCGAAAGCGUGGGGAGCAAACAGG